rnacentral:lncRNA from 1 species
CUGAGCAGGGUUUGAGGAGCAUGGAGAGAUUCUCUCUCACACAGAAGAGAGCAGGAGCCAUGGGUACCCAUGAAGAUCAGGUCACAGUCCCCUUGGGACAGAGCUGCCAGACACCAGAGGCCUUGCAGAAUGGAAGUGCAGAAGGACCCAUCUGAGGAACAAAGAUUAUGAUUACGCUUUGGAAACACCAGGGAAGAAAACAUGAAAAACAGAUUUGAGAGAAGCACAUAAAUGGAAAACAAAGGCUGGCAACUUUGAUACGCCAUAUGGAGUGACGGGGUGACAGAAGAAGAAGUAAAAUAGUCCAAACACUGAAAACUUGGUAGGCAAGGCCAACAAAUUUGUUUGCAGCAGUUUUUUCAGGGAUUCAGAUUGGAAGGAUGAUAAAUAUUUAUGAGGAAGUUUUUAAAUUGCCAUGGUGAAAGAACAUGGUCAGUGUGUUAAAGGAAUCGCUGUUUGGUGUCAGCACUGAACAUAAGAUACUCU